rnacentral:piRNA from 1 species
UNGCUGAAUUUGUGUAUAUUCUGGUGUAGU